AUUGAACGCUGGCGGAAGGAGGGAAAAAGGAAAGUCGAAAGGGAACAGGCCGCAAGGGGCGGAGGAGGGGCGAAAGGGUGAGUAAUGAAUCGGAACGUGGCCAGGAGUGGGGGAUAACUACUCGAAAGAGGAGCUAAUACCGCAUACGAACGAUGGAUGAAAGAGGGGGAACGUAAGGCCUCGCGCGAUUGGAGCGGCCGAUGUCAGAUUAGGUAGUUGGUGGGGUAAAGGCUCACCAAGCCAACGAUCUGGAGCUGGGCUGAGAGGACGCCCAGCCACCCUGUGACUGAGCCACGGCCCAGACUCCUCCGGGAGGCAGCAGUGGGGAAUUUUGGACAAUGGGCGCAAGCCUGAUCCAGCAAUGCCGCUUGCAGGAAGAAGGCCUUCGCGUUUUACCCUUCUUUUUUCCUGAACGAAACGGCUCUGGUUCAUACCCGUGGCUAAUGACGGUACCGUAAGACUAAGCCCCGGCUCCCUACGUC
rnacentral:rRNA from 1 species